GUUUCUCAAUUUUUCUUCUCCUUCAGACCCAGCCUGGAGCCCCUCAGGGCCUGCAGGGCAGUUCCUAAUUCCUGUACCUCCAGGGUGUAGGCUGCUGCACACAGAACGUAUGAUUUGCUUUGAAUAAACAGGGCCACUCCUCCCUCAGUGAAUGUUUGCUGGAGGAGGGACCCCCUUGGCCUCCCUGGACUCCCCUGGAGUCUUAGCAAAGACAAGAAGUCUGAAGAUGAGAGGAGGGGGCAGGAGGGAGGUCGUCAAGCAGGGAGAAAGUUCUAGAGGGAGCUUCGCCAGUCUCCUGAAGAUGAGAGGUCAUCGAGCAGGGAGAAAGUUCAAGAGGGAGCUUCGCCAGUCUCCUGUGCGGUGGGCGUUUCUAAGCAUUUUGGUUCAAUGGUUUUGGAGAAAGAGAGCUUCUGGUUCAUUUCAAGAUUCAGCCAUUGGACACGUCUUCAACGUCCAGGAUUUUAGAGAUUGGCAGCUUUCUUUCCCCUAAUAGAAUUUCAACUUAAAUCUAUUGCUUUAGUACUUCUUUCAAUUCACUGAUUUAUUCACUGGCUCAAUCAAAUGGAUAUUUUGCAAGUGGUUUAAGUAUUUGGUAAGUGCUUGGAGUCUGAAAUAUGAAUCACACAUGAAACUGACAUUCAGCAGGGGAGAACUGCACUCAUGAAGCUACUGGAGUUGACUUGGGUGGGACAGCAUUGGGGAAACCAAAACUAAUUUCAAGUAAAGCAAAACUUCCCCCAAAUCUUCCAAGAGGUUCUUCAGUAGAUUGAUUUGUCGGUAGAUUGAAUUACUCUACUUCUGAUCCAAAUACAUGUUUCAAAUUUCAUAUACGAAAUAAUACAUUUUCUUCAUUGGAUUGCCCCCUGGAUCUUUUAAAUCCUAGUUUAUAUCCAUCCUGGUAGGCCUGGUGACCCAAUCCUUCUGUUAAGUUCCACAUCAAAUGCCUCCUGCUUUUGGAAGCUUUCCACAGCCGGGCCUGGCGCAGAGGGGGUUCCUCUGCACCUCUUUUCCAAGCAAAUGGCUGAAGGUGAUCUCUCCCUAUUUGUACAGUUCCUUCCAGAGUGCACCUCUUACGUCAUUCCUAGUGGACAAGGCCUAUUCUCCAUCCUCAGAACCCUGAAUAGUGAAAUAAAGCCCAUCAAUGCUUAAACUAGAUGACAGGCUCCUCAAGUGUGUUGGAUUCUGCAUGAAACCCUCCACAUGCACUGUGAUGGCACGACCUGGCAGGCUCCUUUGCCCGGGAGGCCUCAUCUCCAGCAUGGGGGAGAUGGCUUCCGUAGUGCUGAUGGGAUUAAAGGAAAUCUUCACAGAGUUGUACUCUGCAACAAGAGGAAGAGUCAGAAAUGCAACUGCAGAGAGAGGACUCCUGUCUUGUUCUCUCUUUUUGUUGUCCAAGAACCAUGAAAAUAGUCCUCGUAUGAUCACAAAAUCCCAACUCAUCCCCUCUUGGUCCAAACAUAGGGAGAAUCAAAGGCAUGUCACCCUGCCAGGUAGUCAAAGAUGUGGACUCCAGACCUCUAAGACCAGCUUUUAAGAGUUCAAGCCAUUGUUUCUCUCUCCACAGUGGGUCCCCCUUUUAUAAAAACAACAACAACAAAACUCAUCAAGAACAGAUUCCCAACAGGUAUGGUGAUCAUGUGUUCCAGAAACAAUUUAGGUAGAGUAUUCUAUCUCAGUUUCUCUGGAAAUGAGUCCAGCUUUUAGUUUUUGCAUGUGAACCACGGCCGCAGUGCCUAGGCUGCGCAGGUCGCCCUCCGUUCCCGCUGGAGAAGCAGGUGAGGCCUUCCCAGCCUGGGCCCAGUGCAGUCAGGCCCUGCCCAGCCCACAGAUGCCUGCACCUUGCUCCUCCCCUGGCUUCCCUCUCACGUGGCUGCAGCUGGGGCAAAGGCCCAACGACUCCUUCUGUAAGCUUCUUCUUGCUUUUGCACUGUUUACCAUCUCCAGGUGUGAGCUCAUCUCUUUCCCCACCACAGGUGGCCCCACCCGAUCUCAGCUCUGCCUUUCCCGCCUCUCUGCUGGGUUGCAUAAGCCAGCGAUUCCCAACCCCGGCUGCACCUGGAAGCUACCCCAGGAGCUUCUGGAGAAUGUGCCGUGUGAGCCAUCCCCCUGCACUGAGCCCUGGUGGGUCAGCGGUGGGGGCGCCCAGGCGUGGGGGUCUAUUUAAAGCUCCCAGGUGCUGUGCGGCCAAGAUUAAGAGGCACUGCUCCAAACUGUCCUGGCAACUCUGACUGUACCCGGCACUCCCCACGCCCAACCUCCCUUCUGCCCCUGGGCAGGUUGGCAUCCAGUGUCGGGGAGAACCCUGGAGGCGAACGCCAGCCUUAUAGAGCCCCACUGUUGGGAGGCCUGCAGGUUGGACAAGGCGAGGUCUGAGUCACCUUGGUUGGGAGCAGAUGCUGCCCUGUUGGUGGCCUGCCAGCCUCUGUCCCCACCCCACCACUCAGAGACAUGGUGUGCCUGCACUUUCCUGAUCCGGGAGCUCCUGCCUUGCUGCCCAGAUGACCUUUGGCCUAGGAAGAAGUCAAAUCUCAGUGUUUUGGACCGGGCACGGUGACUCACAACUGGAAUCCCAGCACUUUGGAAACCCGAGGCCCAGGCCCUUCCUAAUCUCCAGCUCCACCAGCUUCAAGGCAGAAUCUGAAUCCACACAGAGUCUGAGGUAUCUUGGAAACCCUCUCCUUCCCUCUUGGAUGUGUGGACUGUCAGACAUUGUGAAGAGGAGAAGAGGAAGAGGAAAGACGCUGCCCCCAGUAUGCAGACAGAGAGCACCCCGUUCCAGAGAGGCCAGCGCUCCAGGAGUGACAGCUGCUAAUGCCCUUCUUCCUUCAGUCUCCCUGCCCCAGCUACCCUCUCCCUCCCUCCUCUCCCUCCUUCCCUUUCUUCCCGCAGCAAAACACACGGAGCCCAGUGAUCUGCAGGCACAGUGCCGGGCCCUAGCGCUCCAUGGGCACAAGUGACAGCUGUGGCCGAGGUCGGGGAGGGUGCUGGACUGGAAGCCUUGGGAGGCUCUGAGCACACAGGAUUUGGGGCUGAUACUAUUGAGGGUCAGAGGCUGCUGGACUGGGUUGUAAAGCAUCUGAGGCUUUGAAGACCAUUUGGAUAAUUGGGUGUUGCAGGCUCAGGGUGAGUUUGGGGCUUCCUGGAGACUUUGGGGUGCAGAGUAGCCCCUUCCCAGGCCGGCUCUCUGCCUGCCUUUGGACCUGGGAUGUUUCUGCUGGGAAGCAAGUGGACUGGUGCCUUGGAGAGGAUGCCUGUGGGGAGGGGCUGGACUGCUCACAGGGCCUCCUGAUCCUCGUUUCUCAGUGUCACUGAUGUUCAAUUCUGAAAGUUCUGCCUUUAGAGUUAUCUCAAUAGCCCAAUGUGCCUCCUUCCUGGCAUGGUUGUCCAGGGGCAGACACCCUUCUGGGGUUGGCCUGUUUGGGAGAAGCCUGAGAUCUGCAGAGAAGUCUGCCAGGCGGCCUGGGACUAAAAGCUGCAGAAGGUGGGGCAUGAGGAAGCAGUGGGCAGGCAGAAGGAGUGGGCAGGUGGUCUGCUGCUGCCUCGGGGAUGCAGCUUGAGCUGGACUUUCUGCCUGGCUCCGUCUUGUCACCGAGUUCGCAGCAUAAACGUCAUCCCUCAGAGACGCUGACUCGAUCUCUAAUAAAAGCUAUCAGCCUGUCCCCCUUUACUACGAGACCCCUCUUAGCUCUGCAGAGCAUCCAUCACAGUUAGGCAUUUUUGCCUUUUUUUCCAUCCACCCACGCUUCCCACCCCACCAGGACGUGAGCUUGGACUUCAUCUUGUCAUCCCAGCAGCAAGGAGUCGAUUUUGCAGGAUGGAUGGAAAACACAGAGAGGACCAGCUGUUUCAUUUCUAGGCACCUCACUUCUAACCUGGAACCGGUUCCGAGAGGAAGGACCAGGAAGACCCAUGUGUCGGGAAUGGUGGACAGAAGGAGUGUGCUCAGCUGCCGCCGAGAAGACCACACGCUGGGUGCUGAAAAGAUGGGGGGACCUGCUAGGAACCAUGGCCCUGGGCUAAGUCGGGGAUGAAGGCGGGAGCUGCUGUGCUGGACUGCAGCUCAGCACAGAGACAGUGAGCCUAGAUUGCAGAGCUGCCCAGGGAGGGAUGUCACCUUGGGGGAUGGAGGCUGCAGGUGCUCCUCAGACCUUAGGGAAACAUUUGGGAGGGAGCUUGUUGAGGAGAUACAGGCACCUCAGGGUGGCUGGGCUGGAUGGACUUUGAUGACCCUUCCUUUUUUGAGACCUGAUGGUUCUCUAAUUUGGGAAUCAUUUCCAAAGAUGGGUCUAAAAAUCCUUGUUUCAUUGGAAAUAAUGAGUUUGCUAUGAUGCUUAAGACCAAGCAUGUCACCAUUUGUUAUUACUGCACUUUUCCCUGCCGUUUUCCUUUCCUUUUAUUUUUAAUGGAUGAUGUUAGGUUGCAAUGACAUUUUGUUUCUAUAUAAAUAUUUAAAGGUCUUCAUAAACAUAUAAAUGUCUUCAUACAUUUUUGUUUGCUUCUAGAACAAUGUGUAUCCUACUAUUGUAUUUUUGCUACAGUAUAUGAACGUGGAGGUGUGCAUAAGACAGUAAAACACUAUUCACCAAAAGAUAAAAAAGAGAUAUUUGCAGGAUGUGGAAUUAUGAACAUUUUUUUGUUUUUAUAUGUUUUCUAAUUUUGCUUCAACAAGCACAUACCUGUUUUUACAAAAGAAGAAAAACAGAUGAUGAAUAACAUAGGUGCAUCAUUUAUAUCCACGAUGAGCCAGAGCCAGCUCCUGACUCAUGAGACUGACUUUGUGAGCUCUUCACUGCUGCAGGGAUACAGCUGCAUGAAAUACAAUGAAUCAGCUGUAUCACGUUGGCAACUUGAAACUGGCCCUGGUGGUAGUAUUUACACCACAGCAAUUGGCAAAUGCUACAAAUCAGGUCCUUUUUCCCUUGGAAAGCUGGUUGUUAACCAUGUACCAGUCCACCGCUAUUUAUAUUAUUCAUCAAUCAGUAAAAAAUAUUUAAGCAGUAGAGGGGUAUGGGGUAUGGUUUUCAAAAUCCGUAAAUGACAUGAAAAAUAAUUUGUUUUCGAGUUUUCCAUAACUACAGAGCUUUACAGUUUCUAUUCCUCCCUCACAUACAUGAUCUCAUUUAAUCCUUAGGACAAUGCUAAAAUAUUCUUAUUUUAUAGAUGAAAUACUUAUUUCAGAUUUUAUGACAGGUAAACUCUGGUAGAAUUGGAUUGUUCUAGAUGAACUGGAUGUUCUACUAGAACAUCCACAUUGACUUUGAGAAAUUCGGAAUGCCUCUAAAAGCCACCUAGAACUGGAGUUUUCGUCUUUUCUGAGAGUUUUAAAUGUGUAGGAGAACUUUUUGAAAAUCCUCCAUCAGUAUAAAAUCAUUUCAAUUGUGUUUCAUGAGGCUGCAGUUGUGUAAUUUUGACAUUUCUUUCUCAGUGUCCACCCCUUCUCCGCUCAGCCUAGCACCAUGUGCAUCCCACCCUCGUUCCUUCAAGACCUUUCCUGUGGCCUGAUUGAUUGUGCUAAGGGCCCAGUUUGGUCUGGACAGGAAGACAACAGAAGGGAGUGAGGUCAGAGGGGACCGUUGGAUGGAGGGUUGGAAUGUGAAAAGGGGUCACCAGCAGAUUUCAACACAGGUACUUUUUGCCUGGAGCAUUUAGGACCUGAUGCAUUCCAAAUAAACAAUAGGUUUUUGCUUUUGUUUUUGUUUUUUUGAGACACGGUCUCUCUCUGUUGCCCAUGCUGGA
rnacentral:lncRNA from 1 species